CCUACGGGAGGCAGCAGUGGGGAAUAUUGCACAAUGGGCGCAAGCCUGAUGCAGCGACGCCGCGUGAGGGAUGACGGCCUUCGGGUUGUAAACCUCUUUCAGUAGGGAAGAAGCGAAAGUGACGGUACCUGCAGAAGAAGCGCCGGCUAACUACGUGCCAGCAGCCGCGGUAAUACGUAGGGCGCAAGCGUUAUCCGGAAUUAUUGGGCGUAAAGAGCUCGUAGGCGGUUUGUCGCGUCUGCCGUGAAAGUCCGGGGCUCAACUCCGGAUCUGCGGUGGGUACGGGCAGACUAGAGUGAUGUAGGGGAGACUGGAAUUCCUGGUGUAGCGGUGAAAUGCGCAGAUAUCAGGAGGAACACCGAUGGCGAAGGCAGGUCUCUGGGCAUUAACUGACGCUGAGGAGCGAAAGCAUGGGGAGCGAACAGGAUUAGAUACCCUGGUAGUCCAUGCCGUAAACGUUGGGCACUAGGUGUGGGGGACAUUCCACGUUUUCCGCGCCGUAGCUAACGCAUUAAGUGCCCCGCCUGGGGAGGUACGGCCGCGAGACGUAAACUACAANAGAAGUAGACGGCGNGAGACGUGCCGACGGACGACGACGAGGGAGGAGG
rnacentral:rRNA from 1 species